GACGAACGCUGGCGGCGUGCUUAACACAUGCAAGUCGAACGGAAAGGCCCUGCUUUUGUGGGGUGCUCGAGUGGCGAACGGGUGAGUAACACGUGAGUAACCUGUCCUUGACUUUGGGAUAACUUCAGGAAAAUGGGGCUAAUACCGGAUAGGAGAUCCUGAUGCAUGGGGGGGGUUGGAAAAAUUCGGCGGUUUGGCAUGGACGCGCGGCUUAUCAGCGUGUUGGUGGGGUAGUGGCUUACAACGGCAUUGACGGGUAGCCGGCCUGCGAGGGUGACCGGCCACAAUGGGCCUGAGGUGCGGCCCAGACUCCUACGGGAGGCAGCAGUGGGGGAUAGUGCACGAUGGGCGGAGUCCUGAUGCAGCGACGCCGCGUGCUGGAUGACGGCCUUCGGGUUGUAAACCGCGUUCGCCUGUGACGAAGCGUGAGUGACGGUAAUGGGUAAAGAAGCACCGGCUAACUACGUG
rnacentral:rRNA from 1 species